ensembl:snRNA U4 U4 spliceosomal RNA
AGCUUUGCAUAGUGGCAGUAUCGUAGCCAAGGAGGUUUGUCUGAGGCGUGAUUAUUGCUAACUGAAAACUUUUCCCAAUACACUGCCAUGACUAUGGCAUUGGCAAUUAUUGGCAGUCUCUACAGAAA